rnacentral:rRNA from 1 species
GAUGAACGCUGACAGAAUGCUUAACACAUGCAAGUCAACUUGAAUUUGGGUUUUUAACUUAGAUUUGGGUGGCGGACGGGUGAGUAACGCGUAAAGAACUUGCCUCACAGCUAGGGACAACAUUUAGAAAUGAAUGCUAAUACCUGAUAUUAUGAUUUUAAGGCAUCUUAGAAUUAUGAAAGCUAUAAGCACUGUGAGAGAGCUUUGCGUCCCAUUAGCUAGUUGGAGAGGUAACAGCUCACCAAGGCGAUGAUGGGUAGCCGGCCUGAGAGGGUGAACGGCCACAAGGGGACUGAGACACGGCCCUUACUCCUACGGGAGGCAGCAGUGGGGAAUAUUGGACAAUGGACCGAGAGUCUGAUCCAGCAAUUCUGUGUGCACGAUGAAGUUUUUCGGAAUGUAGAGUGCUUUCAGUUGGGAAGAAAAAAAUGACGGUACCAACAGAAGAAGUGACGGCUAAAUACGUGCCAGCAGCCGCGGUAAUACGUAUGUCACGAGCGUUAUCCGGAUUUAUUGGGCGUAAGGCGCGUCUAGGUGGUUAUGUAAGUCUGAUGUGAAAAUGCAGGGCUCAACUCUGUAUUGCGUUGGAAACUGUAUAACUAGAGUACUGGAGAGGUAAGCGGAACUACAAGUGUAGAGGUGAAAUUCGUAGAUAUUUGUAGGAAUGCCGAUGGGGAAGCCAGCUUACUGGACAGAUACUGACGCUAAAGCGCGAAAGCGUGGGGUAGCAAACAGG